rnacentral:lncRNA from 1 species
GAAAACUUGGGCAGAGCGGAGUUUUAUCCAUCCCUCCCUGCGAGGACGUGCUUGCCGAGGGGGCCGGAGUUGAGUGGAUGGGGGUAGCGUUUUUCCCCUAGAACAAGUUAUUUCAUGGUUGUUACCCGCCCAUUCCGCGUCGUCCGGACGCAUCAGUCCCUUCAGCAAAUCCUGCCUCGGGACUUCUGAGGCUCGGGUAAAAGUUUAGAUCCUCUCCUCACAAAAAUGCGCCAUUAUCAGUACAUUGAAAAUUGUGCAUUCAGAGAAUUCACAUUACUCUAGAAACCCUUUCUGAGGCUCCGAUCUCUAAGCCGAGUUAACCUCCGGUCCAGGAACUAGAGGAAUUUAACAAGGAAAUUACUGACCAUAAUUGAUGACCCUGUCAAUCUCAUAGUCACUCUUUGACAAUGUAAACCCUGAAGACAAUAAUGAUAAUAAUAUCCUGACUUUUAGAGCUAAAGGAAUUGGAAGUAUUGAAUUGGAACUCUUCCAGAUGGAAUACAGCAGAAGUAAUGUUAGGUCAGAAAAGGCCAUACAGAGUCCACCUUCUUCUCUGGAAUAUUCUCUCUUGGAUUCUUGAGCCACCAUGUAAAAAGGUGAACUACCCUGAGGCCACUAUGCUCUCAGAAAGUCCAAGCCACAUGGAGAGGCUACUUGUAAGCACUCUGGUCAACAAUCCAGCUGUGUAUAGCCCUUGAGUUAUCCUAGCUCAGGUACCAGUUGUUUCAGUGAAGAAACCUCCAGAUGAUUCUGCCUCCAAGACAUUUGAGUCACCCUCAGCCACUUCACUGUUCCCAGAUGAGGACCCAAACAUCAUGGAGCUAAGACAAGC